CCUACGGGUGGCAGCAGUGAGGAAUAUUGGUCAAUGGACGCAAGUCUGAACCAGCCAUGCCGCGUGCAGGAAGACGGCUCUAUGAGUUGUAAACUGCUUUUGUACGAGAGUAAACGCAGAUACGUGUAUCUGUCUGAAAGUAUCGUACGAAUAAGGAUCGGCUAACUCCGUGCCAGCAGCCGCGGUAAUACGGAGGAUUCAAGCGUUAUCCGGAUUUAUUGGGUGUAACGGGUGCGUAGGCGGUCUGAUAAGUUAGAGGUGAAAUCCCGGGGCUCAACUUCGGAAUUGCAUUUGAUACUGUUCGGCUAGAGAGUAGUAGAGGUAGGCGGAAUGUAUGGUGUAGCGGUGAAAUGCUUAGAGAUCAUACAGAACACCGGUUGCGAAGGCAGCUUACCAGGCUACUUCUGACGUUGAGGCACGAAAGCGUGGGGAGCAAACAGGAUUAGAUACCCGGGUAGUC
rnacentral:rRNA from 1 species